rnacentral:rRNA from 1 species
GGAACUAGGCAAAAUGGUGCCGUAACUUCGGGAGAAGGCACGCUGACACGUAGGUGAAGUGAUUUACUCACGGAGCUGAAGUCAGUCGAAGAUACCAGCUGGCUGCAACUGUUUAUUAAAAACACAGCACUGUGCAAACACGAAAGUGGACGUAUACGGUGUGACGCCUGCCCGGUGCCGGAAGGUUAAUUGAUGGGGUCAGCGCAAGCGAAGCUCCUGAUCGAAGCCCCGGUAAACGGCGGCCGUAACUAUAACGGUCCUAAGGUAGCGAAAUUCCUUGUCGGGUAAGUUCCGACCUGCACGAAUGGCGUAAUGAUGGCCAGGCUGUCUCCACCCGAGACUCAGUGAAAUUGAACUCGCUGUGAAGAUGCAGUGUACCCGCGGCAAGACGGAAAGACCCCGUGAACCUUUACUAUAGCUUGACACUGAACAUUGAGCCUUGAUGUGUAGGAUAGGUGGGAGGCUUUGAAGUGUGGACGCCAGUCUGCAUGGAGCCGACCUUGAAAUACCACCCUUUAAUGUUUGAUGUUCUAACGUGGACCCGUUACCCGGGUUGCGGACAGUGUCUGGUGGGUAGUUUGACUGGGGCGGUCUCCUCCUAAAGAGUAACGGAGGAGCACGAAGGUUGGCUAAUCCUGGUCGGACAUCAGGAGGUUAGUGCAAUGGCAUAAGCCAGCUUGACUGCGAGCGUGACGGCGCGAGCAGGUGCGAAAGCAGGUCAUAGUGAUCCGGUGGUUCUGAAUGGAAGGGCCAUCGCUCAACGGAUAAAAGGUACUCCGGGGAUAACAGGCUGAUACCGCCCAAGAGUUCAUAUCGACGGCGGUGUUUGGCACCUCGAUGUCGGCUCAUCACAUCCUGGGGCUGAAGUAGGUCCCAAGGGUAUGGCUGUUCGCCAUUUAAAGUGGUACGCGAGCUGGGUUUAGAACGUCGUGAGACAGUUCGGUCCCUAUCUGCCGUGGGCGCUGGAGAACUGAGGGGGGCUGCUCCUAGUACGAGAGGACCGGAGUGGACGCAUCACUGGUGUUCGGGUUGUCAUGCCAAUGGCACUGCCCGGUAGCUAAAUGCGGAAGAGAUAAGUGCUGAAAGCAUCUAAGCACGAAACUUGCCCCGAGAUGAGUUCUCCCUGAGACUUUAGGUCUCCUGAAGGAACGUUGAAGACGACGACGUUGAUAGGCCGGGUGUGUAAGCGCAGCGAUGCGUUGAGCUAACCGGUACUAAUGAACCGUGAGGCUUAACCUUACAACGCCG